CAAGUUCUGCAAGAGUGCGAACGAGAAAGCGUAUUCCUUCUGGUUGUGGAUCGAAGGAAUCCUGGAUGUGAUUAAAAGACACCUGCUUUCCCUUUGGAACGACGGCUCCAUCAUGGGCUUCAUCAGUAAGGAGAGGGAGAAGGCUCUGCUCAGUGAUAAGUGUCCCGGGACCUUCCUGCUCAGGUUCAGUGAGAGCAGCAGAGAGGGAGCCAUCACCUUUACCUGGAUGGAAUACGACCUCUGCAGUGAGUGAAGGACUGAUGCUGUUCAUGUCUUAUGUAAAGGAAGAAUGUGAGACUCUUUGAUCCAGUAGAUAUCUCCCUUUAGCACCAGCAUUAAACCAGAAACAUACAAUAUGCCCAGAUAGGUCGUGCUGUGCUACCCCCAAAACUUUCCGCUCAGUAUCUGACAUUUUCUGAUAUUUAAAUUGAAGAACAGUUUCCUACUCCCUCUCUCUCUCUUUCACUCUGUGGAGCCGUACACGAAGAAGGAGCUGUCAGCCGUCUCUCUGCUCGACAUCAUCCGUACCUACAAAGUGAUGGCUGCCGAG